rnacentral:rRNA from 1 species
UACGGAGGGUGCGAACGUUAAUCGGAAUCACUGGGCGUAAAGCGCGCGUAGGCGGUCUGUUAAGUGGGAUGUGAAAUCCCCGGGCUUAACCUGGGAAUUGCAUUUCAAACUGGCCGACUAGAGUACGGUAGAGGGAGGUAGAAUUUCCUGUGUAGCGGUGAAAUGCGUAGAUAUAGGAAGGAACACCGGUGGCGAAGGCGGGAUCCUGGGCCAGUACUGACGCUGAGGAGCGAAAGCGUGGGGAGCAAACAGG